rnacentral:rRNA from 1 species
GACAGAGGAUGCAAGCGUUAUCCGGAAUCACUGGGCGUAAAGCGUCUGUAGGUCGUUUAAAAAGUCUACUGUUAAAAAUUGAAGCUUAACUUCAAAGGUGCCGUAGAAACUUUUAAACUUGAGUAUGGUAGGGGUAGAGGGAAUUUCCAGUGGAGCGGUGAAAUGCGUAGAUAUUGGAAAGACCACCAAUGGCGAAGGCACUCUACUGGGCCAUUACUGACACUGAGAGACGAAAGCUAGGGGAGCAAAUGGG